rnacentral:rRNA from 1 species
CCCCUUAGAUGUUCUGGGCCGCACGCGUGCUACACUGAGUGGAUCAGCGGGUCAGGUUGCGCGAAAGCGUUUCCUAAUCUUUAAAUCCGCUCGUGAUGGGGAUUGACGGUUGCAAUUUUCUGUCAUGAACGAGGAAUACCUUGUAAGCGCGGGUCAUCAUCCCGCGCUGAAUACGUCCCUGCCCUUUGUACACACCGCCCGUCGCUCCUACCGAUUGAGUGGUCCGGUGAGGCUUUGGGAUCUGAGCGGAAAGAGCGUUUCGCUGUUUCUGCUCGGAAAACUCAGUCGAACCUUAUCAUUUAGAGGAAGGAGAAGUCGUAACA